AGCAGCCGCGGUAAUUCCAGCUCCAAUAGCGUAUAUUAAAGUUGUUGCAGUUAAAAAAGCUCGUAGUUGAAUUUCGGGAUCAAUUAAUUGGUCGUGCCUCUGGUACGUACUGAUUUUAUUGGUUUCUCCCUUCUGAAGAACCAUGAUGUCAUUAAUUUGGUGUCGUGGAGAAUCAGGACUGUUACUUUGAAAAAAAUUAGAGUGUUUAAAGCAAGCUAACGCUUGAAUACAUUAGCAUGGAAUAAUGAAAUAGGACGUUUGAUCCUAUUUUGUUGGUUUCUAGGAUCGACGUAAUGAUUAAUAGGGAUAGUUGGGGGCAUUAGUAUUCAAUUGUCAGAGGUGAAAUUCUUGGAUUUAUUGAAGACUAACUACUGCGAAAGCAUUUGCCAAGGAUGUUUUCAUUAAUCAAGAACGAAAGUUAGGGGAUCGAAGACGAUCAGAUACCGUCGUAGUCUUAACCAUAAACUAUGCCGACUAGGGAUCGGAUGAUGUUAAUUUUUUAAUGACUCAUUCGGCGCCU
rnacentral:rRNA from 1 species